AUAUAUAUAUAUAUAUAUAUAUAUAUAUAUAUUCGCACGCGGUUUUUGGAUUUUAAAAACAAUUAUAUUAUAUAUAGUUAAUUUUUAAAAUAUAAACGUGGUAUUUUGAUUUAUAUUUAAUAUAAUUUAAUUGAUAAUUUUGGAAUUGGCGGUAAAAUAUUAUUAUAUAUUGCAAAAUUGUUUUUAUUUCAACUUACUUACUGGUAUUAUUUGGAUUAUAACGGCGUUAUUCCAAAUAAUUAAUAUAAUUUGUAAUAUUAAAUUUUUACCGUAAUUUCUUUUCGCGCACAAAAUUAUAUUUGCUGAAUUAUAAAAAACACGGUAAAUGUAAUAUAUUAAAUCGCGGUGCGGUAUUAAUGCGGAAACGGUAAAAAAUUUAUAAUCAUUAAAAAAAUAUAUAAUAAUUAUUAAAACAAAUUUAUAUUAUAAUAUUAUAUUAUUUAAUAUUUUGCUUUGGAUAUAUAUUUGCGGAAAUAUAUAUAAAAUGGAUCGGACGCUUGGUCGAACGGGUGGCCAAUUUGGGGUUAUUUGGAAUUACUACAAUUUAAUAGAAAUAAAAUAUAAAUAAAUGGUUAUUUAGUUAUAAUAUAUAUAUAAUUUGAUAAAAAGAAUAAAAAAUUUGAAAAAAUAAUAAAU
rnacentral:sRNA from 1 species